ACAGCAGCCGCCGCGGGAAUACAGAGGGUGCGAGCGUUAAUCGGAUUUACUGGGCGUAAAGCGUGCGUAGGCGGCUUUUUAAGUCGGAUGUGAAAUCCCUGAGCUUAACUUAGGAAUUGCAUUCGAUACUGGGAAGCUAGAGUAUGGGAGAGGAUGGUAGAAUUCCAGGUGUAGCGGUGAAAUGCGUAGAGAUCUGGAGGAAUACCGAUGGCGAAGGCAGCCAUCUUGCCUAAUACUGACGCUGAGGUACGAAAGCAUGGGGAGCAAACAGGAUUAGAUACCCGUGUAGUCCCUGUCUCUUAUAC
rnacentral:rRNA from 1 species